GUUUGGUUUGCUUGCAAACCAAAGCUGGCGACCGGCGCGACGGGUGAGUAACACGUAUCCAACCUGCCUCAUACUCGGGGAUAGCCUUUCGAAAGAAAGAUUAAUAUCCGAUAGCAUAUAUUUCCCGCAUGGGUUCUAUAUUAAAGAAAUUCGGUAUGAGAUGGGGAUGCGUUCCAUUAGUUUGUUGGCGGGGUAACGGCCCACCAAGACUACGAUGGAUAGGGGUUCUGAGAGGAAGGUCCCCCACAUUGGAACUGAGACACGGUCCAAACUCCUACGGGAGGCAGCAGUGAGGAAUAUUGGUCAAUGGACGCGAGUCUGAACCAGCCAAGUAGCGUGAAGGAUGACUGCCCUAUGGGUUGUAAACUUCUUUUAUAUGGGAAUAAAGUGGUCCACGUGUGGAUUUUUGUAUGUACCAUAUGAAUAAGGAUCGGCUAACUCCGUGCCAGCAGCCGCGGUAAUACGGAGGAUCCGAGCGUUAUCCGGAUUUAUUGGGUUUAAAGGGAGCGUAGGCGGAUUGUUAAGUCAGUUGUGAAAGUUUGCGGCUCAACCGUAAAAUUGCAGUUGAUACUGGCAGUCUUGAGUGCAGUAGAGGUGGGCGGAAUUCGUGGUGUAGCGGUGAAAUGCUUAGAUAUCACGAAGAACUCCGAUUGCGAAGGCAGCUCACUGGAGUGU
rnacentral:rRNA from 1 species